GCGGAGCUUGCUCCGCCGGAUCAGUGGCGAACGGGUGAGUAACACGUGGGCAACCUGCCCCAGACUUCGGGAUAACUCCUCGAAAGAGGCGCUAAUACCGGAUACGAACUUUGCAGGCAUCUGCGAAGUUGGAAAGUUUUUCGGUCUGGGAUGGGCCCGCGGCCUAUCAGCUAGUUGGUGAGGUAUCGGCUCACCAAGGCGACGACGGGUAGCCGGCCUGAGAGGGCGACCGGCCACACUGGGACUGAGACACGGCCCAGACUCCUACGGGAGGCAGCAGUGGGGAAUAUUGCGCAAUGGGCGAAAGCCUGACGCAGCAACGCCGCGUGCGGGAUGAAGGCCUUCGGGUUGUAAACCGCUUUCAGCAGGGAAGAAGCGAAAGUGACGGUACCUGCAGAAGAAGCACCGGCUAACUACGUGCCAGCAGCCGCGGUAAUACGUAGGGUGCAAGCGUUGUCCGGAUUUAUUGGGCGUAAAGAGCUCGUAGGCGGUUAGUCACGUCGGAUGUGAAAUCCCAGUGCUUAACACUGGGCCUGCAUUCGAUACGGGCUGACUAGAGUGUUGUAGGGGAGACUGGAACUCCUGGUGUAGCGGUGAAAUGCGCAGAUAUCAGGAAGAACACCGGUGGCGAAGGCGGGUCUCUGGGCAACUACUGACGCUGAGGAGCGAAAGCGU
rnacentral:rRNA from 1 species